UCUCGAUCUCUUAGCUCGAUCUCCAUUGAUGCAAACUCCAUUAUCUACUCCAUUAUUACACACACAAAACGCGUGUGGUGAGCCUCUCACUAUAAAUAUAAAAACCUCAAAGCCAAACGUUAGCAUUUCAUUCCACAAGUCUAAAAACAAAAGCAUCCGCUGUUUCCAUUCGUUAAACACAAACGGCCAAAACAAAAACCCUUCCUUGCCGAUCUUCUCUGCCACCAAGUCAGUUUAGAGACACAAGAGAAUGAUCGUUACAUCGUUUGAAGAUUCUUUUAAUAACUGUUUGGAAUAAGCCGAUACAGAAGGAGAGAGGACGAUAGAGAGACGUUGCGAUACAUAGGCUGCGUUCACAAAUCAUAGUGAUUGAGGCAUUGCAUUAGAACGAGUACCAAAAAUUUUGAAAGAAACCCAGUGACGCUUGAAAGAACAGGGGCCUGCCUUCACUAGCCUGCCACCACUGGUCAGCCAGCGAAACUACUACCGUUGCUAAGGAAAUUUUGCAUGCAGGUUACUCAUAUACAGUCAACGGAUAAUUUUGAUAGAGGAGGUGUUUGUGGGUCUUGGUGUAAUAAUUGAUGGUAGUGGAAUACCUAUAAUGCCAAAAGUUGAUCUAAAAUUUCCCACGGCCAAGGUGGGAUGCAAAAUUGGGUGUGGAUACAUAGCUUGAGGUCAUUCACAGCGAAAGCUCCUACCUAUGCCUUGGAAUUUUUUUAAGGGCAUGCUCUGGAAAGUUUUUCUUAGACAAUCUGACAACAUUCUUAAAUUUCCUGGAUCAAUGGUCUACAUUUAGGCGAAACUGAAUGAAUUUUUUUAUCCUGUAUUUCUUUGUUUGUUGCUCUACAUUUUCCUUUGGUGUAGAAUUUUAUGAGACUAUUUAUUACUGUAGUUUGAUGCAUUUCAUGGGUUAAUACUACAGGAUUUGAGUAUCAUAAUAUCUUAAUUAUUAAUUAUUGUUUGUCGAA